rnacentral:rRNA from 1 species
UACGAAGGGUGCAAACGUUGCUCGGAAUCAUUGGGCGUAAAGCGCACGUAGGCGGUCCGUUAAGUCGGGUGUGAAAUCCCUCGGCUCAACCGAGGAAGUGCAUUCGAAACUGGCGGACUUGAGUAUGGAAGAGGGUCGUGGAAUUCCCGGUGUAGAGGUGAAAUUCGUAGAUAUCGGGAGGAACACCAGUGGCGAAGGCGGCGACCUGGGCCAAUACUGACGCUGAGGUGCGAAAGCGUGGGGAGCAAACAGG